GACGAACGCUGGCGGCGUGCUUAACACAUGCAAGUCGAACGAAGUGGCGAACGGGUGAGUAAUACGUGGGUAACCUGCCCUCCUUUUUGGGAUUAGCCUUGGAAAAGGGGUCUAAUACCGAACAAAGGGGGAUGGGCUCGCGGCCUAUACGCUUGUUGGUGGGGUGAUGGCCUACCAAGGCGGUGACGGGUAGCCGGCCGGAGAUGGUGACCGGCCAAAUUGGGACUGAUAUACGGACCAGACUCGUACGUGAGGCAGCAGUGGGGGAUAUUGCACGAUGGUCGAAAGCCUGAUGCAGCGACGCCGCGUGGGGGAUGAAGGCCGUCUGGUUGUAAACCGCUUUCAGCCAUGACGCGGUAGUGGCAGAAGAAGCACCGGCUAACUACGUGCCAGCAGCCGCGGUAAUUC
rnacentral:rRNA from 1 species